rnacentral:rRNA from 1 species
UACAGAGGUCUCGAGCGUUGUUCGGAUUCAUUGGGCGUAAAGGGUGCGUAGGUGGCGCCGUAAGUCGGGUGUGAAAAUUUCGGAGCUUAACUCCGAAACUGCAUUCGAUACUGCGGUGCUUGAGGACUGGAGAGGAGACUGGAAUUCAUGGUGUAGCAGUGAAAUGCGUAGAGAUCAUGAGGAAGACCAGUGGCGAAGGCGGGUCUCUGGACAGUUCCUGACACUGAGGCACGAAGGCCAGGGGAGCAAACGGG